AACGAACGCUGGCGGCAUGCCUAACACAUGCAAGUCGAACGAACCCUUCGGGGUUAGUGGCGCACGGGUGCGUAACGCGUGGGAAUCUGCCCUUUGGUUCGGAAUAACUCAGGGAAACUUGAGGUAAUACCGGAUGAUGACUUCGGUCCAAAGAUUUAUCGCCAAAGGGAUGAGCCCGCGUAGGAUUAGCUAGUUGGUGGGGUAAUGGCCACCAAGGCGACGAUCCUUAGCUGGUCUGAGAGGANGAUCAGCCACACUGGGACUGAGACACGGCCCA
rnacentral:rRNA from 1 species